UCAUGGCUGGAUGGACAGAGGGUUCAAACAGCCAGAGAGAAGCACUGCAUAGUGGAAACUGUGACUAGUAAGAGAAGUCGUGCAGCUGUGUCGGAGAGCCAGCGGUUGAGAGCUGCCCGAAAGAACUGGGGGCAAAGAUAUACGGGUGUCCUUGCUGACUGAGCUGCUUUUGAGAGGGGUUCCAUCUCCCAGGCUUUCCUUCCCAUAAGGCUCCCAUGUGUGGGGGGAGAUGGUGAGCUUGCAGGAGUGGGAGGGAGGGGUAGGAGAGGUACAGCUGGAAGAGGCUCCACGGAAAGACUGUGGAAACGCGGAGAGCGGGGAAAUGAAGAGGAACACGUCACUCAUUGCAAGCUGAAAUGCAGAGGGGGUGGUGAGGAGAAGAGGAGCAAGGAGGCAGAGAUUUGGAAGCCUCGUCACAGAAGGACUGGCCUCAAGACCACAGAGCAAGGGAAAGUCAAGGCCCUACGAACAGCCAUCAUGGUGACUCUUCCUCUUUUCCUCCUCUUCAUCCUCUUGCCCUGUAGUAAAUCCCAGGAGGACUUUCUGGACCAGCAUCAGAAAUGGAACUACAGAGAAGGUGCUGACAAGGUCAACAUAGAAGGCAUUAAUAGCAUUACUCAAACACUUGAGAAAUGGGGAAACGGCAUCUUCUGGCAAAUGAAGCACACCCUGCUGAACAACCCGAACGCUUUACUGCCCGAGUUCUCCAGUCUCCGCCCUGUCUCUGCGGCUGUGGACAAUCUCGUGAGAGAAGUCCAGUCGAUAAGGAAAAGGCUAGAAGAACUGAAUGAACGGCUCAACGUCAUCAGCAAAACUGUCCUUCCUAUCCGACUGAAUGCUCUGCAGAGCCAGAGGCGUGGAAACACUCAGAUGCGGAGACUUCCAAUGCACAGGAGAAGGUUAUAUGCUCGCAGGAGACCUCAGAGGAGUUAAUUCUCUACCAGAAAAAAAAGGGAUUUUUUUUCCCACCUGCUUAAGCCUUUCUCAAUGGAACACUGCUAGAGACAACAAAAUAAAGCACAGACAAGUCAGCUUUACUGAAGAGACCAGAACUUCUGCAUUUUGUUGCUGCCUUUCAAACCUAGGUUAGUAGGUGAAAUCUGACCCUGAUCUUCAAUGAUGGCUGUUUGUGUCCCAUGCAAAAUGAGUUGACAAGCUCAGUCUACUUGAGUGUGAAUACCUUUAGGCUAUACAGUCAUUCUUUCUGCUUACCAGAGGAAGCACUUCCUGUAAAGAUCAGGUGAUUUUCUUUCUCUAUCCUAUUUUUACAGCACUUCACCUGAAACAGUUGGGGAAUUUGAUCUUCAAAAGUGCUGAAUGCCUGAUGAAUGCAGGAAGAUAGAUUAUUGCUUAGCAAUUCCAGCUGGGCAGGGAGAGGGAAAAGCAGCUGUUUUAAAAUACAGCCUUAACCUAUUCUCCACUGUGCAAAGAAUGCUCUGUUCACAUGUUCAGAGGGUGGGCAGGGUUGGAUAACCUUGGUCUGUGCAUCAUGUUUCAAGACUGAACAUAUGUCAGAUUCUAGGGACCAAAUCUGAACAUCUAUCUUCUGCAAAGAGCUUUCUUUUAGCUACCUGGAACUGGGCACUCAAAACCUUGUUAUUCAGCACACAUAUUCAGAAUUUCCAGCGCUCCGAAAGACAUUGUGUUGACUUCUGCCAAGACCCUUGGAAACCAGAGGAUGUUUUUUCAAAAUUAUUUAGAUAUAUAAUGGCAUAGAUAGGUGUCUAGAAGGAUUUUCCAAAAUAGCUUGAGACAGUUCAGUCUCCAAAUUAACAGAUAAUAAUUCAAUUGGUGCCGUAUCUGCAGAGUAUCUUCUCCACGUGCAAGCAUUGACCUCCAGACACUUCCCAACAUACUUUAGCACAAUUAAGAUCUGUAGAAAAAGAACAGCUAUGCACCCCAAGGACUUUGUUGCCUCAGGAAGUACCCAGAAUACCCUGCCUUCAGCUCAUCUUUGCCUGUGGCUUCCUGGUGAUAAAACUGGUGAUAAAAAACAGUGCAGAAAUCAAAUUAUGCACUGAACAGAGGAUAGAGUGGGCUUGCCCUUCAAGUCUCUAAAGGUAAAUUCAAUACAGAGAUUCCCAUCCAGUGAUGCAGCCAACUGCGUACCUGAAAUCUGUUGAAACAUAGGCAGGAGAGUCAGAGAGGAAAAUAAACUAUUUUUUUAAAGGUCUGGAUGAAGCAAUUUAUGAGGGGAAAAAAAUAAAGAAUGCAUCAUGUCUAAAUUGUUGGGGGGGAGGCUGGCAUGAUAGUUGUUUUGCAAACACUCUCCAGUCAUAAACAGUGAGGACGCAGUCUAGCUAUGUAAGGAUUCCCAAGGACUGAGUUUAUGGAAAGAAGUUCAGUGACACUACAAUAACCUCCAGAGGGAAAGGGGAAAAAACAGUUUCAUAUGAAAUCUUUCAAAAUGCACCAGAAGAAGUAACACAGUCAGCAGUUUGGCUGGGACCUGGAAGUUGAAUGGGGGAGGUAUGAGGAGUAUAUGAGACAAUCUAGUAACAUAUUUUCUGGAUGUUAAUUCUCUGAGUUCAGGUUUUCAGAAGAUAACAAAACUCUGACUUGGAAGGUCUUUCUCUGGCUUUUGCUUGGGUAUUUGAAACACUGCUUAGCUAGGCAAGGGAAAAGCCAAGCCUGUGAAAAGACUGAUAAAAAGAUACAGUUGUACCUUUGGUGAAGUUGUCAUCGUAAUUUCUCAGGAAACGUAGAGUAUUUUGAUCCCAGAAUACAUUUACCUAAAUUACAAGGAAUAACAGGAGAGAAAGGCCCCAUCAACCUCCUUCUUGUUAUUCUGCAUUCAGACCUACUAGGCUGUGCUGUGGCAUCAGCUGCGUGCUUGCACAGACUGCUGGUGCCUCCAGAGGAGGGACUUUGCUUGACACUGCUGGUCACUUUGGCCUAUCUAGAGAAAGAAUACAUCAUAAAUGUCAGCUUUCAUGUUCAUAUUUUAGACAUCAGCAUUUUAUCAGGCAACCUGAAGUUGUACGAAAUCCAGCGUGAAACAGAAAGAUGAGACUUGGGGCCCAGGGAAGUCCCUCAGUCACGGAUGGCUGGAGGUGAGAGACCAGACCACAUCACUGCAUGCUUUUACUUUUUACCUAAAUGUCCACCAUCAGCUUCUGCCGGAGACAGAGGACUGGGCAAGAUGGACCUCUGCUCUGACCCAGUCCACGUAUUUCUAUACUGAUAUAUGCAAGUUGGUAUUUUUGGCAAAACUACUCAGCUCAACAGAGAAACUGUUUAAGAGAGAACAAAUAAGCUGCAGCAUGCAAUGUAUAUUACAAUCUUGCAAUUUCUUGCAUAAUGGUGAAAAAAUCAAAUUAUAUAAAUGGUUAAUAAAUGACUAGAUCUGUGGCCUUGUC